AGUUGUGUGCCUGGUUGCUUACCACAUAUUUUUCAUGCUGUUCGUCUGGUCAUAUUGGAAAACAAUCUUUACACUACCAAUGAAUCCUUCAAAAGAAUUUCAUCUAUCAUAUUCAGACAAGGAAUCCCUAGAGAAGGAGCCUAGAGGUGAAUCCCAGCAAGAAGUCUUAAGACGGGCAGCCAAGGAUCUUCCUAUCUAUACACGGACAAUGUCUGGAGCAAUCAGGUACUGUGACAGAUGCCAUCUUGUAAAACCAGAUCGUUGCCAUCACUGUUCUGUAUGCGACAA